rnacentral:lncRNA from 1 species
AAAGGAAACAAGGUCAAGGGGUAGAUGGUUGGGCCCCACCCAGGCUGUUGUGGAGAAACAGGAGCCCAAAAGGUGCAGAAUCAACUGAGAAAAGGCCUGAGAAUUUCAGCAUCGGAUUAGCUGUCCACCCUAAAAGAGAUUUUACACCCUUUGUCAAGUGGCCCCUCUACAUAGAGCUGCAGCAGCAAAGGGCUGUCUCUUUAAGCUGCUCAAAGUACUGUAAUGCCUGCCUUUAACCAGUUCCCCCAGGUCCUGGACCUGAUAAUUACCUAGCUACUUAAGCUUGCCCAUGAGCACAGGGCAGAGACAAAACACGAGAAGCAGAGGCUGCUCGACAGUGCUGAGGUGAAAGCUGCUGGCAAUGGAGCAUCCCACCUAAAAGACCACCUGACCAUUGAGCAGGGGCUGCUGGUCUCUGCUGAGAAGAAAGCUGCUAGCAAAGGGGAAGUUUCACCUGAGAGACCACUUGUCUUUUGAGCAGUCAGUACAGUCCAAGCAGGGAUCAAUACAGUCACCAUCUUAGAGAACAAGAAGGCUCAGCUGGUGGUGACUGCCCACAAUUUAGAUCCCAUUGAUUUGGUGGUCUUCUUGCCUGCCCUGUGUUGCAACAAAGCUGGGGUGGCUGAUCCAGAGGAAGACUUGUACCACUAUUAUCUUCAUACAGGUUAACUUGGAGAAAGGGUGUUCUGGCUAAGCUGGUGGAAGUCUAGAACCAAUUAUAAAGACAGAGUCAAUGAGAUUUUCCCACUGGGGAGGCAAUGUUC